AGCAGUUCUGUCAAUCAAAGCCAUGUAUAGAUUGCAUUACGGAAGUAGGACCACAAACGGAUAUCUGUGAGCAUGUGUGCAAAGAGACCGUUCUUGGAAAGGUCUGGGCCAAACACGGUCAGGUUCUAGGACAGAGAAAGCCUUCCUCCAGGGUGGAAUCACGUUUAACCAGUGUAUUUCCAUUAAACCCAUCUGAUCUAGAACCCUGUUAUGAUGAUGUGCCCAUGUUUGUCCACUGUAGAUGUGUCUGUGAAGAUGGCUGUAUUUUUCCUCUUUGAAUUCUUCUAGUUUACUGAAAGGAAAAAAAAGCCAACAGGUGAGCAACAUCCCAAGUUCCACAGGAGCUGGUUUUAUUUUCAAAAGGUUGAGAGCCAGAAAACAAAUAUUAAGCUAAAUUGCCAUUGCUCAUCUGCCUUCGUUUCC